rnacentral:rRNA from 1 species
UACGAAGGGGGCUAGCGUUGCUCGGAAUCACUGGGCGUAAAGCGCACGUAGGCGGAUUGUAAGUCAGGGGUGAAAUCCUGGAGCUCAACUCCAGAACUGCCUUUGAUACUGGCGAUCUUGAGUCCGGGAGAGGUGAGUGGAACUGCGAGUGUAGAGGUGAAAUUCGUAGAUAUUCGCAAGAACACCAGUGGCGAAGGCGGCUCACUGGCCGGUACUGACGCUGAGGUGCGAAAGCGUGGGGAGCAACA